GAAGUAAAAGUCGUAACAAGGUCUCCGUUGGUGAACCAGCGGAGGGAUCAUUACAGAGUUACUACUCCAAAACCCAUUGUGAACCUUACCUAUGUUCUGUUGCCUCGGCGGCGUGGUCAGCGCCCCCUCUGAAAAGAGGACGAUGCCCUCCCGCCGGCAGCACCAAACUCUUGAAUUUUACAGCGGAUUACAGUUCUGAUUUGAAAAGAAAAAACAAGUUAAAACUUUCAACAACGGAUCUCUUGGUUCUGGCAUCGAUGAAGAACGCAGCGAAAUGCGAUAAGUAAUGUGAAUUGCAGAAUUCAGUGAAUCAUCGAAUCUUUGAACGCACAUUGCGCCCGGCAGUAAUCUGCCGGGCAUGCCUGUCCGAGCGUCAUUUCAACCCUCGAACCUCCGUUUCCUCAGGGAAGCUCAGGGUCGGUGUUGGGGCGCUACGGCGAGUCUUCGCGACCCUCCGUAGGCCCUGAAAUACAGUGGCGGUCCCGCCGCGGUUGCCUUCUGCGUAGUAAGUCUCUUUUGCAAGCUCGCAUUGGGUCCCGGCGGAGGCCUGCCGUCAAACCACCUAUAACUCCAGAUGGUUUGACCUCGGAUCAGGUAGGGUUACCCGCUGAACUUAAGCAUAUCAAUAAGCGGAGGA
rnacentral:misc_RNA from 1 species